CUCCUGCUGCUGCUGGAGAAACUGUGACGUUAAUUUCCUCCAAACAUUAUCUUGCAUAAUUAUAUGCAAUAGCAAUAAUGAGCAGUGAAGAUCUAAAUAUACCCACAAUGAACCACUGAUGAACUGGUGAAAGCCUUUCACACACAGACCGCUUUAGAACAACAGUACUCGCCACCUGCAUUGUUGCCUCAGCAUUAAGGCCCAAACUCUGGAGUGGAAGAAGAGCAGUUCAAGCAUUGAUUCACCUGUGCCCAUGGGGCCUACUGUAG